GACGAACGCUGGCGGCAGGCCUAACACAUGCAAGUCGAGCGAGCGGCGGACGGGUGAGUAAUGUAUGGGGACUGCCCGAUAGAGGGGGAUAACUACUGGAAACGGUGGCUAAUACCGCAUACUAUCGGAUAAUCCAUAUGGGAUUAGCAGGUAGGUGGGGUAAAGGCUCACCUAGGCGACGAUCUCUAGUUGGUCUGAGAGGAUGAUGAGCCACACUGGGACUGAGACACGGCCCAGACUCCUCCGGGGACAGCAGUGGGGAAUAUUGCACAAUGGGCGCAAGCCUGAUACAGCCAUGCCGCGUGUAUUAAGAAGGCCUUAGGGUGUUAAAGUACUUUCAGCGGGGAGGCGUUACCCGCAGAAGAAGCACCGGCUAACUCCGUGCCAGCAGCCGCGGUAAUUC
rnacentral:rRNA from 1 species